UUAAAAGCAAUAAUAAAUGUCUGUCUGUCUGCCUGCGGGGUGAGAAAAAGUUUGGUUUGGUUUUGUUUAGCAGCUUCAAUUUCAAUUCAUUCUUUUCUUGAUUGACUCGGCGAAAUUUGCAAUUAUCUUCGGACGAGAGAAAUAAGUGGGCAUCGCCUUCCAGUAUCGGAGUAACAAUCAGAAGAAGAAAAAUCAUCCGAGGCACCUUGGACCUCAAAAGAAUUAUUUUAAAAGCUAUUUUUUCCUUUUGGGUAAAAAUCUGGACAAACAAAUCACCAAAAAUUCCACAAUUUGUUAACACAAUUAAAACAAUGAAGAGAUAAUUCGUGCCAAAAUUUGAUAUACUUUAACGCCGAAAUACAAAAAUGGAAUCCUUUAAAAUUCUUGAAGUUGUAAUAAAAUAGAUACAAUCAUCGUAACCAAUAAAUCCACUUUACAAUCAUA